CAGAGGUGGCAAGCGUUGUUCGGAAUUACUGGGCGUAAAGGGCGCGUAGGCGGUUCGGUAAGUCCCGUGUGAAAUCCCUCGGCUCAACUGAGGAACUGCACGGGAAACUGCCGGGCUUGAGUUCGGGAGAGGGAAGCGGAAUUCCGGGUGUAGCGGUGAAAUGCGUAGAUAUCCGGAGGAACACCGGUGGCGAAGGCGGCUUCCUGGACCGACACUGACGCUGAGGCGCGAAAGCUAGGGGAGCAAACGGGAUUAGAUACCCCGGUAGUCCUAGCUGUAAACGAUGAGUGCUGGGUGUAGGAGGUAUCAACCCCUCCUGUGCCGAAGCUAACGCAUUAAGCACUCCGCCUGGGGAGUACGGUCGCAAGGCUG
rnacentral:rRNA from 1 species